AAAUGGACUUGAAUGUGGUGUUCCGAAUUUCCAUUUUAAUGGAAAUGUAU
rnacentral:sRNA from 1 species